UUCCAAUCUUCGGAAGGCUGAGCCUGGAUGAUCGCUUGAGUCCAGGAGUUCUGGGCUGCAGUGCGCUAUGCCGAUCGGGUGUCCGCACUAAGUUCGGCAUCAAUACGGUGACCUCCAGGGAGCAGGGGAACACCAGGUUGCCUAAGGAGGGGUGAACCGGCCCAGGUCAGAA